CACCGCCGGGUGACAACCUGACACAACAGGGAACGAUGGACGUGGCGCAUUUUUCCGGUUUCUGCCCACGACAUCAACGCAUCGGUACGCGCUGACAUCUAACCUGUUCCCGGC
rnacentral:sRNA from 1 species